UACGUAGGCAGCGAGCGUUGUUCGGAGUUACUGGGCGUAAAGAGUGCGUAGGCGGUUUUCUAAGUUUGGUGUGAAAUCUCCCGGCUCAACUGGGAGGGUGCGCCGAAGACUGGAAGGCUUGAGUAUGGGAGAGGUAAGCGGAAUUCCUGGUGUAGCGGUGAAAUGCGUAGAUAUCAGGAAGAACACCUAUGGCGAAGGCAGCACUCUGGGACGGUACUGACGCUGAGACGCGAAAGCGUGGGGAGCGAACAGG
rnacentral:rRNA from 1 species